rnacentral:lncRNA from 1 species
AAUAGAGAGAGAAGACCUAGUCAUAUCAAAGAGUAGCAUCUUCAGGGUCUUGUAGCAAUAGACGAGAGUACAACAGGUGUAACACAAAUAAUUAGUCAUAUUGUUGCAGCAGUAUUAAAGUGAGGUCACGCCCAGAGAUCCUCCCUCAGCUCCCUGCGAGGAAGCGAUCCCGGGGCAACUAAUUACAGUUAAGUAACAAUUGUAGUUGUAUAAGAUUAGGGCACAACUCCAAGUCGUCCUGUAACCGUGGACAUGGCUAUUCGAAUAGAUAAGUUCUUCCCUGCAGGGGUGCACAACAUAUUCCCCGACGCGCUUGAUAACACUCUGGUCGGACACACUUUUCUAGGUCCUGCAGCCCCACCUAAGCUCAGCAGAGAGGCCAGCCCGCCGGUCUAACUCCUAAGCACAAAGGUGUCGAGGGCCCACUUACCCUCCGCGCUCCUGCACGAUGCGAGGGCGGCCGAUGUCAGUCCUAGCACCCCUUAAUACAAGAGCGAUGCAUCUCGGGACCACUCGGGCGCGCACCUCUACAUCACUGACGUGUGAAGAGCUUCGGAUGAUACCGCGACGUCGAGUACCCAUAAUUCUUCCCACGGAGAUGGUUAGUGCGUAAUAAGGCCUUCCGACCAACCCAGAACAAAUACCCAAAUCCAUUAUCAUUUUAAUUACACCAUCGACAAAAUAU